rnacentral:rRNA from 1 species
GACGAACGCUGGCGGCAGGCCUAACACAUGCAAGUCGAGCGAGACCUUCGGGUCUAGCGGCGGACGGGUUAGUAACGCGUGGGAACGUGCCCUUCUCUGCGGAAUAGCCACUGGAAACGGUGAGUAAUACCGCAUACGCCCUUCGGGGGAAAGAUUUAUCGGAGAAGGAUCGGCCCGCGUUAGAUUAGAUAGUUGGUGGGUAACGGCCUACCAAGUCUACGAUCUAUAGCUGGUUUUAGAGGAUGAUCAGCAACACUGGGACUGAGACACGGCCCAGACUCCUACGGGAGGCAGCAGUGGGGAAUCUUAGACAAUGGGCGCAAGCCUGAUCUAGCCAUGCCGCGUGUGUGAUGAAGGUCUUAGGAUCGUAAAGCACUUUCGCCAGGGAUGAUAAUGACAGUACCUGGUAAAGAAACCCCGGCUAACUCCGUG